UACGGAGGGGGCUAGCGUUGUUCGGAAUUACUGGGCGUAAAGCGCGCGUAGGCGGAUCUGCAAGUCGGGGGUGAAAUCCCGAGGCUCAACCUCGGAACUGCCUUCGAUACUGCGGGUCUCGAGUCCGGGAGAGGUGAGUGGAAUUCCUAGUGUAGAGGUGAAAUUCGUAGAUAUUAGGAAGAACACCAGUGGCGAAGGCGGCUCACUGGCCCGGUACUGACGCCGAGGCGCGAAAGCGUGGGGAGCAAACAGG
rnacentral:rRNA from 1 species